UUUUGGGAGAGGCAACAUUUAUACAUGUUUUUAUGUAGAAUUUGUCUUAAAAUAGCAUGCUAAAUUAUCUUUCAAAAGCUUAUUUCUACUCAAUCUAUUUAGGUAUUAGAUAUAGUUAUACAUUCAAAUGAAUGUAAAAAAUAAAAUGAUGGGUGCUAUGGUUUUUGGAAAAUCCCUCACAAUUUAAAAUUAUAAUGGACUGUCCAUGCAGUUACACCGUUGUAAAGUUUGAAUUCAAAGGAAUUGAGGUCAGUUAAAGCUUGCAAACACAAAGGAAAUUAUUGAUAUUGUAGCAAUUCUGGAGAUAUUUUGUUUAAAAUGUAAGGGUGCAUAUUUUUGAUUUCUCAAAGAAAACAUUUAAAGUCUUAUUAGUGUGGUAAAUAGAAAUGAGAAGUUUUAACUGAAGUGUGAAUGUGUAGACAAGAAGAUAAACAGCAGAAUCAUUCCCAGUCAAAGUUUCAGACACAAAGCAAUGAGGAGCAGCCUGGAGCAACACAUUUGAUCUUCAGUGGCUUUACAAAGGUAUCUUGUUAAUUCAAAGUUAUUUUAGAAUUAAUAGGAAAGAAGAGUCACAGUACCCAAUAAGACACUUUUCAGUUCUUGAUAAAUAUAGCUAUUAGUCACUAUUUACAAACCUACUUUAAUUCAAACUCUUUAUGACACUUUAAUUUGCAUUUACAUUUUGUUUUACAAAUUUUAGAGUUUUUGUACAUUUUAGCUUGAAAAUUUUAUCAAAUAUUUAUCCUGAUGAAGGUUCGUUAAGAACUGAAACUGGAAGAUUAUUAAUUACUCAACCUGCACUGGUGUUGAUGUGUUGUAUUUCUUUUUCUUUCUUAUUUUAAAAUUUUAGAGUUGUAUACAUAUACCAAGGUCUUAAGUGAUUCAUUUUCUGUCUUUACAUAUUAGAUAUUGAUAAUCAUUAAUUUUUCUGUCUUUACUUAUUUGAUAUUGUUAAUCAUAUUUUAGGACCAUGGCAGAACUGAAGCCAUAUGCCUCAAAAGAGAAAGGUACAGCAAAGCUCUUCAGAAUGCUAUUCAAUAUAGAAGAGAUUAAAGGACGCUCAUUGUUUGGUAUGAGGAAAGGGAACAGAGAGUCUGACGCCAGACCUUCUUGUGCAGACAAGGCAAAACUUAAGUUCUUGGAAGAUUGUGCGCUCGAAAAGUUGCCGACAACCUAAAGGACUGAACUCAAACCGUCCAGGAAUAGCAAGAUAAACUGAAGAAAAUCAAUGGACUAAUGUUUUGCUUUUUUUUGAGACAAUAUAUAAUUUCAUAUGGAAACAUUAAAAAGGAUUAUUUUUAAAAUUUGUUUGUUUCCAAUUUAGGGUACAGGGUGACUUUCAAGCAGUUUCCAGCUAUUGCCACCCACAAGGUGGAAAAUUUCUGAAAGGGUGAAAAUAGGUGGCAUUUAGUGGAAACUGAAUUUGCCACUAUCUGGUGGCAAAAUGGUGGAAAAGUGUCUAAAUACUCCACCAAUUU